UCGCCUGUUUAUCAAAAACAUAGCUCUACGGUUAUAAAUAUGUAGGGUGCUUCCUGCCCGGUGAUCAAAAAGAUUUAACGGCCGCGGUAAAUUGACCGUGCAAAGGUAGCAUAAUUAAUUGGCUUUUAAAUGGGGUCUAGUAUGAAUGGAUUUACGGGGUGAGACUGUCUCUUUUUUAGUUUUUUUAAUUUUAAAUAAAAGUGCAGAUGCUUUUUUGAUUUCGUGGGACGAGAAGACCCUGUCGAGCUUUAGUCUUUAAUUGUAAACAGAGUAAAAUUUUUGGAUCUUUAUAAGUUCUAGUUUAUAAUAGGUUUUGGUUGGGGCAACCGUGAAAGAAAGACAUCUUUCAUAUUUUAGAAAGGAUUAUAUUCCUUAAUAAGUUUAAUGACCCAUUGUUUAGUGGUAAAUAGAAAAAGUUCCCGCAGGGAUAACAGCGUUAUCUUUCUUGAGAGUUCAUAUUGACGGAAAGGUUUGCGACCUCGAUGUUGGAUUGGGAUUUCCUUAAGGUGUAGCAGCUUUAAUGGUUAGAUUGUUCAUCUAUUAAAAUCCUACGUGAUCUGAGUUCAGACCGGA
rnacentral:rRNA from 1 species